CCACCGACUGCCGCUAGAGAAAAGGCACGGGCUGAGCUUUUCCUUCCCCGCGCAUCUUCCUUCCUGCCCUCUCUGUCUCUCUUCUCUCCCAGUCGUCUCUCUCUUAGUCCUCUCUCUCUCUUGAGCUCUCUAUCUCAGUCGACCCUCUCUCUCAAUUGUUAUCUCACUCUCGCUCGCUCUUAUCUCAAUAUCUCUCACACACAGUCGCACUUUGGCAAGUAUCUCAUUCACACAUCGGUGGCAUUUGAUUUAGGGGUGUAACUGACUCAAGUUUUAAUCAAACAGUUUUGGCUUGAAUUGGAUUAAGCUUGAUUCAAGUUCGAUGCUAAUCGAGUUCGAAUCUCAGCUCAAAACAUGGAAACUUUGAAAACAGAGUAAAAGCUCACUAGAAUCAUCAGAGAUCUCCUGGGACCUAGCAUCAGCACAGACCCAACUAAUGCUCAACACAAGAAGAUGGAAAAGCCCCACUCUCACAGUCAUAGUGCCUGAGGGGAAAAUUAGUGCCAGUUGUGGGAGAAGGAAAUUGAACUUAAGGAGAUGAAAGAGCAAUUGAAUGAACUUGUAGACCUACUACAGCAGAGUGAAGCACAGAGAAAAGAAAUUCUUUUACAA